UUAGAUAUUCAUUGCCGUCUGCUAGCUCUCUGUCACUCUCCCAUGGUUGCCCACUGAAGCUAAGCAAGGCUGCGUCCGGUCAAUACCUGGAUGGGAGACCACAUGGGAAAGCCAGGUUGCUGUUGAAA
ensembl:rRNA 5S_rRNA 5S ribosomal RNA